rnacentral:rRNA from 1 species
AGAGUUUGAUCAUGGCUCAGGACGAACGCUGGCGGCGUGCUUAACACAUGCAAGUCGAACGGAAAGGCCCUUCGGGGUACUCGAGUGGCGAACGGGUGAGUAACACGUGGGUGAUCUGCCCUGCACUUUGGGAUAAGCCUGGGAAACUGGGUCUAAUACCGAAUAUGAUCAUCGGCUUCAUGGUCGGUGGUGGAAAGCUUUUGCGGUGUGGGAUGGGCCCGCGGCCUAUCAGCUUGUUGGUGGGGUAAUGGCCUACCAAGGCGACGACGGGUAGCCGGCCUGAGAGGGUGACCGGCCACACUGGGACUGAGAUACGGCCCAGACUCCUACGGGAGGCAGCAGUGGGGAAUAUUGCACAAUGGGCGCAAGCCUGAUGCAGCGACGCCGCGUGAGGGAUGACGGCCUUCGGGUUGUAAACCUCUUUCAGCACAGACGAAGCGCAAGUGACGGUAUGUGCAGAAGAAGGACCGGCCAACUACGUGCCAGCCGCCGCGGUAAUAC